UGGGGAAUUUUGGACAAUGGGCGAAAGCCUGAUCCAGCGAUGCCGCGUGUGUGAAGAAGGCCUUCGGGUUGUAAAGCACUUUUGUCCGGAAAGAAAUCCUCUGGGUUAAUACCUCGGGGGGAUGACGGUACCGGAAGAAUAAGCACCGGCUAACUACGUGCCAGCAGCCGCGGUAAUACGUAGGGUGCAAGCGUUAAUCGGAAUUACUGGGCGUAAAGCGUGCGCAGGCGGUUUUUGUAAGACGGAUGUGAAAUCCCCGGGGCUUAACCUGGGAACUGCAUUCGUGACUGCAAGGCUAGAGUAUGGCAGAGGGGGGUAGAAUUCCACGUGUAGCAGUGAAAUGCGUAGAGAUGUGGAGGAAUACCGAUGGCGAAGGCAGCCCCCUGGGCCAAUACUGACGCUCAUGCACGAAAAGCGUGGGGAGCAAAACAGGAUUAGAUACCCUGGUAGUCCACGCCCUAAACGAUGUCAACUAGUUGUUGGGGAUUCAUUUCCUUAGUAACGUAGCUAACGCGUGAAGUUGACCGCCUGGGGAGUACGGUCGCAAGAUUAAAACUCAAAGGAAUUGACGGGGUCAUAGCUGUUU
rnacentral:rRNA from 1 species